ACGCAGAUGCCCGAGUGGUUAAGGGGGCGCGUUUGUACGUACCUCUGCUUUUAUCUCUCCAUCCGUCUAGCGCUAACUCUGUUUAACAGAAGUUUACCAACUUCCCGCGCUGUCGUAAGACGUCAAGAGUUCGAACCUCUUUCUGCGUA